UCCUUCCUCUGUCUGGCAAGCUCUGCUGACCCCUGAGGGGUCCCCCGUUCUGAUGGGAUCUCCGUGCCUUCUGCUGAUCCCAGAGAACAUGGGUUUGUUCUCUUAUAUCCAGGUUCGUUAUCAUUUUUUCAUGUUGUGCAAUGUUUCUCUUCCUUCCUUUUUUUUUUUUUUUUUUUUUUUUCCCUCUCCCCAGGCUGCCAACUGAUCCCUCUCGUGUCUGCAGUAACCCGAAUGUAGUCUAGUAAGGUUUGCUCAAGUGAGAUGGAAAAUGAAGAGGUAGGCUCCAAAACAGACUUGCGUAUUGGAGACUUAUCCACCACAUGGUGAUGCCUUCCCUGACCUCCUUGAUUGCAGUGUGGGAUGUGCCCUGAUCCUUGGAAAGGGGUGAGUGAUUCCUUCAUCCUUACUAGAAGGUAAUCUCUACUUACCUUUUCUUGUGUCCAUCAGGUGGCACUGGAGAGUUGUGACCCUGCUGAGCAGUGCAAGGACUCUACUGAGGCUCUUGGUGGACACAGCGAGAACCCACACCCAUAGAUGGAUGCCAAUAUCUAUUCCUUCCUGUCUGGCAAGCUCUGUUGUCCCCUGAGGUCGUUCCCAUGCUUGCAGAGGUC
ensembl:lncRNA